AUCCUUGAUUUUAGUUGCGUUUCGUCCUGAGCUUUCAUACAGAGAGUCAAAUCAUCGCAAUAGGAUGAGAGGGCCAAGUCCUCCGACAGAGGGAGGUGUUGCGGUAAAUCCGAAGUGUAGAGAAUGAAACGAGUAGUUGAGAUUGUAGCUCCUUGGGGGACACCAUAUCUUAAUUCGAAGGUCUCGGAGAUCUCGGAGCCUAUCCUGACACGGUAAUUUUUGUUAUGUUGUUCAAACUUUUUCGACGGACUGUAUCCUCGUUUGAAAAUCGGAACAUCAUGAGCUAGCUUCUGCUUAUGCUCAUUCCAUCUCUAAUUUACGAAAGCAUUGCAGAAACUCAAUCUGCAAAAAGUUUCUCAUGGCCAAGCUUCUAAACAACUUACUAGAAUCCAGACUUCAUUUGAUGUUGAAGCAAAGCAUGGUAUUCAGUAAAUGAUUGGCAAACUACUACGUAAGGCGCACUGCUUUAGAAAGUGAGAAAUGCUCUUGAAACAAGCAAUUUUAAGUGGACUUGCUUACCGCUUCUGGGAUUAAAAUUCCCAGCAAUUUUGGAUGGCAAUUUAUGCAUUUCAUUGGUAUUUAAUUAAUCCCAUCCUUCACCUGAAGAUAAUUGUCUGGAAGUUAGACCUCGGAUUCAAAUUGGUUUUCGUGAAGUUAUGUAUCCCAAGUUUUGGGAAAUAACAAAAAUGAAAAAGCGGUCCAAAAUAAAAGAUUUCGUGUUAUUAGCUCCUUCACUUCCACUCUUACAUUUUGCACUUUUAAGGUAUCAUUAAGGCGAUGCUACGAAUAGGUCAGUAACAUAUUACAAGAGGUAUAACUUAUCUUCAUUUAUAUGUUAAUUUUGGUACAUCUUACCCCCUUGAAUUGUGAAUUUAAUCAUCAUCCUAAAUUUGUGUUAGUUGCGGAAUUUACUGUUAUUUUGAUCACGAUCAGAUAUUGCCAGUGACUGAUGAAAGGGUUGUGCAUCGGGUUCGACAAGGUCUCCUAAUGCGAUCAGAGGUGAAAUCUUGUAAUCCUAAUCUGAGAGAUUUUUCGAUCCAACCGAACCCGAAAUUUUCCGCUCAAUCCGAAUCCGAGAGCUUUGCCAAUUCCGAACAAAUUCGAAUCAGUAUGUUUUUGCUAAAUCCGACCCCGAGGCGCUUGAGCAUAUUUCGGCUAUAUUUCGACUUUUUUUAAUGAAUCUGAUCAAAAUUCGUUUUAAGACCAAUUGAUCUUAAAAACAGAAGCUUAUUCAGCUUUCACAGUAAUCACUUCGGAACCCGUGUUAAAAUUUACUCGGAACCUAUAGGAGGAUUUCACUGAGUUCAUGAAAUUCGACAAGUUUGAACCUUAUAAUCUUCUGAAAUACCUUCGCAAUGUUCGAAGUGAGAGAAAAAAAAUGUAAUUACUGGGAGAGACGUAUCUCUCCCUUUAAAAAUUGGAACGACAUGAGCUAGCCUCAAAGAGAAUGAACACUUACUUGCCCUGAUCCAAGAUGCAACGCAUCAAGUACGAGAAAACCUGAGGAAAAUACUUAUCAUAAGCUUUUUUGUAUUUGGUUACUUGGGUUCCUUUGCGACAAUAUUUUUUUGCGGACUUCCUUACCGCUACUUGGAAGUUCAAAACGAGAAGCUUAUUUAAUUUACUUCAAUAUUUUUUUAUUUUCACUUUUAUUUUCAGUUAAGUAAAUUUACUGAACAUGAAAACAAAAGUUCAGUGAAGCCUUUUGUAAACCGGUUGAACUCCUUGGAGCCCAAAUGUGAGGUGAUGGACUUGGUUGAAUCGUUCCUUGAGGAUAAAUUGGGGGAUGAAGCUGGCCGAAGGGAGAUCCGUGACGAGCUGUGCAACGAGAGUGCUGAUUUCUCAGACCUGGAUUUGUCAUCAUUGCAGAUCGAGGAAGGAACUUCCAAGAGAUGUAUGAUAUGUCCUUAAAUUGUCAUAUUGGUGCUAAUAUACCAAAAUUCAGAAAUGUGGAAAAAUAAACCAACUUCAAUAUUGUUUGAA